UACGUAGGGUGCGAGCGUUAAUCGGAAUUACUGGGCGUAAAGCGUGCGCAGGCGGUGAUGUAAGACAGACUGUGAAAUCCCCGGGCUCAACCUGGGAACUGCAUUUGUGACUACAUCGCGUGGAGUGCGGCAGAGGGGGAUGGAAUUCCGCGUGUAGCAGUGAAAUGCGUAGAUAUGCGGAGGAACCACCGGAUGGCGAA
rnacentral:rRNA from 1 species